AGAAAUAUGUACCUCUGGAAGGAGGCAAAGCAAACUUGGUGCAUACUAGUUGGGCUCUGAUGGGUCUAAUUCAUUCUGGCCAGGCCAAUAGAGAUCCAACACCUCUUCAUCGUGCAGCAAAAUUGAUAAUUAAUUCUCAACUGGAAAAUGGUGACUUCCCCCAAGAGGAAAUAACUGCGGUGUUCCUAAGGAACUGCAUGUACCACUAUGCAACAUACAGAAACAUCUUUCCAUUGUGGGCUCUUGCAGAGUAUCGCAAACAUAUUCCUUUGCCGACCAAAGGUCUCUAAAUUCAAGUUGCUAUUUCUUUGUAGCUUCAGUUAUAAUAUAUAUAUCUUCACAGAGAGAGAGAGAGAGAGAGAAGAGAGGGAGGUAGAUUAGAAAACUAUCUUAGUUCGAUAUUCCCCAAGGUCCCAAAUAAGAAAAAUAUUUACCAAAGUAGCAUAGCUUAUCAUACAGUUUUUUGUUGAAGACUCUCAUUAUCUCCUAUGGAAUGUGUGCACAAAUAAGGAUAAAUAUGGAUGACCAUGUUAAAC